rnacentral:lncRNA from 1 species
UUCUUAAUCCUUUUCUUCUCUCUUAUACUUAGACAGAGACCUGUCUCUUCUCUGGAAGACAGAAUCUGUCAAACCUCUUUUCAGUCACACCGUUAUCGGAAAUGUUGACAAAGGUAAUGAUUCUGUUCACACUCCAAGUCCAUUGCUACUCAAAGAUUGGGAUCAGACAGAAAAAGGUUCCAGUGGCAUUUCAACAUUAAAACCCAGUGAAAUGCAAUACACUACAUCUUCCCAAUCCACUAUAACAGAACCAAGAUCCAGUGUCAUACCCUCUUUUGUUUCUAACGGAAUGAUUACAAAAGUAUUUCCUCGGGAUAAACCAGGCUGUCCCUGGGAAAGGCCGAAAGUAGUAAAUGUGGUGACAGAAGCUAUGGUGACCACUGAGCUCCCUGUGACAGUCAUUCCGAAAUUGAACACUUGUGUGAUGGAGAUGUGUAGGUUCUUCCAGCGAUGCCUUUGUCGUGUGUAUUCAAAGAGGCUGGAAUUAAGGUGGGGUAUCAAAAUUAAAUGUCGCAUGAUAAGAAUCUGUACACAAUUGUGUUUGGUUAAUGUAACCAUGAA